rnacentral:rRNA from 1 species
CCUACGGGUGGCAGCAGUGAGGAAUAUUGGUCAAUGGGCGCGAGCCUGAACCAGCCAAGUAGCGUGAAGGAUGACUGCCCUACGGGUUGUAAACUUCUUGUAUAAAGGAAUAAAGUGAGGUACGUGUGCCUUUCUGUAUGUAUUUUAUGAAUAAGGAUCGGCCAACUCCGCGCCAGCAGCCGCGGUAAUACGGAGGAUCCGAGCGUUAUCCGGAUUUAUUGGGUUUAAAGGGAGCGUAGAUGGGUUGUUAAGUCAGUUGUGAAAGUUUGCGGCUCAACCGUAAAAUUGCAAUUGAUACUGGCAGUCUUGAGUACAGUAGAGGUAAGCGGAAUUCGUGGUGUAGCGGUGAAAUGCUUAGAUAUCAGGAAGAACUCCGAUUGCGAAGGCAGCUUACUAGACUGCCACUGACGUUGAUGCUCGAAAGUGUGGGUAUCAAACAGGAUUAGAUACCCUGGUAGUC